AUUGAACGCUGGCGGCAGGCCUAACACAUGCAAGUCGAACGAGUGGCGGACGGGUGAGUAAUGUCUGGGAAACUGCCUGAUGGAGGGGGAUAACUCCGGGAAACGGUAGCUAAUACGGCAUACCAGCAGAUGGGCCCAGAUGGGAUUAGCUAGUUGGUGGGGUAACGGCCCACCAAGGCGACGAUCCCUAGCUGGUCUGAGAGGAUGACCAGCCACACUGUAACUGAGACCCGGUCCCGACUCCUACGGUAGGCAGCAGUGGGGCAUCUUGCCCAAUUGGCGCAAGCCUGAUGCAGCCAUGCCGCGUGUAUGAAGAAGGCCUUCGGGUUGUGAAGUACUUUCAUCGGUGAGGCGUUACCCGCAGAAGAAGCACCGGCUAACUCCGUGCCAGCAGCCGCGGUAAUUC
rnacentral:rRNA from 1 species